rnacentral:rRNA from 1 species
AGAGUUUGAUCCUGGCUCAGAACGAACGCUGGCGGCGCGCCUAAUACAUGCAAGUCGAGCGAGAAGACGUAGCAAUACGUUUGUAAAGCGGCGAACGGGUGAGGAAUACAUGGGUAACCUACCCUCGAGUGGGGAAUAACUAGCCGAAAGGUUAGCUAAUACCGCAUACGACUCUUGGUCUGCGGAUCGAGAGGGAAAGCGAUACCGUGGGUAUCGCGCUCUUGGAUGGGCUCAUGUCCUAUCAGCUUGUUGGUGAGGUAAUGGCUCACCAAGGCUUCGACGGGUAGCUGGUCUGAGAGGACGAUCAGCCACACUGGCACUGCGACACGGGCCAGACUCCUACGGGAGGCAGCAGUAAGGAAUAUUGCGCAAUGGGCGACAGCCUGACGCAGCGACGCCGCGUGGGGGAUGAAGGUCUUCGGAUUGUAAACCCCUUUCGGCAGGGAAGAUGGAACGGGCAACCGUUCGGACGGUACCUGCAGAAGCAGCCACGGCUAACUUCGUGCCAGCAGCCGCGGUAAUUC